AAAGAGUUGAAAGACUCCCUAAACCCACUGCGAACAUACCUAUAUCGUUGCUUCGGCGGGCGGCCCCAGGGCGGGGCCCGGGCCUCUUCGGGGUGAGGUGCCCGCCGACGGCCCUUAUAAACUCUUGUUAUCUACAGGCAUUCUGAGCGACGAAGAUGGAAACGAGUCA
rnacentral:misc_RNA from 1 species